AUUUAUAUAGUUUAAGUAAAACAUUACAUUUUCAAUGUAAAAAUAAUUUUUUUUUAUAAAUA
rnacentral:tRNA from 1 species